UGCAGUCGAGCGGUAACGGAUCCAGCUUGCUGGAUGCCGACGAGCGGCGGACGGGUGAGUAAUGCAUAGGAAUCUACCCUGUAGUGGGGGAUAACCUGAGGAAACUCAGGCUAAUACCGCAUACGUCCUACGGGAGAAAGCGGGGGACCGUUUGGCCUCGUGCUAUGGGAUGAGCCUAUGUCGGAUUAGCUGGUUGGUGGGGUAACGGCCCACCAAGGCGACGAUCCGUAGCUGGUUUGAGAGGAUGAUCAGCCACAUCGGGACUGAGACACGGCCCGAACUCCUACGGGAGGCAGCAGUGGGGAAUAUUGGACAAUGGGCGCAAGCCUGAUCCAGCCAUGCCGCGUGUGUGAAGAAGGCUUUCGGGUUGUAAAGCACUUUCAGUGGGGAAGAAAGCGUGCGGGUUAAUAACCGGCACGGACGACAUCACCCACAGAAGAAGCACCGGCAAACUCCGUGCCAGCAGCCGCGGUAAUACGGAGGGUGCGAGCGUUAAUCGGAAUUACUGGGCGUAAAGCGCGCGUAGGCGGCGAAUCAAGCCGGUUGUGAAAGCCCCGGGCUCAACCUGGGAAUGGCAUCCGGAACUGGUUGGCUAGAGUGCAGGAGAGGAAGGUGGAAUUCCCGGUGUAGCGGUGAAAUGCGUAGAGAUCGGGAGGAAUACCAGUGGCGAAGGCGGCCUUCUGGCCUGACACUGACGCUGAGGUGCGAAAGCGUGGGUAGCAAACAGGAUUAGAUACCCUGGUAGUCCACGCCGUAAACGCUGUCGACUAGCCGUUGGGAGCCUUGAGUUCUUAGUGGCGCAGUUAACGCGAUAAGUCGACCGCCUGGGGAGUACGGCCGCAAGGUUAAAACUCAAAUGAAUUGACGGGGCCCGCACAAGCGGUGGAGCAUGUGGUUUAAUUCGAUGCAACGCGAAGCACCUUACCUACU
rnacentral:rRNA from 1 species